GAUGAACGCUGGCGGCGUGCCUAAUACAUGCAAGUCGAGCGAACAGACGAGGAGCUUGCUCCUCUGACGUUAGCGGCGGACGGGUGAGUAACACGUGGAUAACCUACCUAUAAGACUGGGAUAACUUCGGGAAACCGGAGCUAAUACCGGAUAAUAUAUUGAACCGCAUGGUUCAAUAGUGAAAGACGGUUUUGCUGUCACUUAUAGAUGGAUCCGCGCCGCAUUAGCUAGCUGGUAAGGUAACGGCUUACCAAGGCAACGAUGCGUAGCCGACCUGAGAGGGUGAUCGGCCACACUGGAACUGAGACACGGUCCAGACUCCUACGGGAGGCAGCAGUAGGGAAUCUUCCGCAAUAGGCGAAAGCCUGACGGAGCAACGCCGCGUGAGUGAUGAAGGUCUUCGGAUCGUAAAACUCUGUUAUUAGGGAAGAACAAAUGUGUAAGUAACUAUGCACGUCUUGACGGUACCUAAUCAGAAAGCCACGGCUAACUACGUG
rnacentral:rRNA from 1 species